GAUAAACGCUAGCGGCAGGCUUAACACAUGCAAGUCGAGGGGCAGCAUAGAUUGUAGCAAUACAAUUGGUGGCGACCGGCGCACGGGUGCGUAACGCGUAUGCAACCUACCCGUCACAGGGGGAUAAUCCGGAGAAAUCUGGUCUAAUACCCCAUAACAUAUGGAUCGGCAUCGGUUCAUGUUGAAAUUUUCGGAGGUGACGGAUGGGCAUGCGUAGCAUUAGCUUGUUGGUGAGGUAACGGCUCACCAAGGCGACGAUGCUUAGGGGGACUGAGAGGUCUUCCCCCCACACUGGUACUGAGACACGGACCGGACUCCUACGGGAGGCAGCAGUGAGGAAUAUUGGUCAAUGGGCGCAAGUCUGAACCAGCCGUGCCGCGUGCAGGAUGACGGCUCUAUGAGUUGUAAACUGCUUUUGUACGAGGGUAAAGUGGGAUACGUGUAACCUUUUGAAAGUAUCGUACGAAUAAGGAUCGGCUAACACCGUGCCAGCCGCCGCAGUAA
rnacentral:rRNA from 1 species